AGAUUUCUUUUAAGGGUCGUUAUAGACGAUGACGUUGAUAGGUCACAAGUGUAAGUGUAGAGAUACAUUCAGCUGAGUGAUACUAAUUACCCGUAGACUUUGAAAU
rnacentral:rRNA from 1 species